UACAGAGGUGGCAAGCGUUGUUCGGAAUUACUGGGCGUAAAGGGUUCGUAGGUGGCCUACUAAGUCAGACGUGAAAUCCCUCAGCUUAACUGGGGAACUGCGUCUGAUACUGGGGGGCUUGAGUGCAGGAGAGGAACGCGGAAUUCCAGGUGUAGCGGUGAAAUGCGUAGAUAUCUGGAGGAACACCGGUGGCGAAGGCGGCGUUCUGGACUGCAACUGACACUGAUGAACGAAAGCCAGGGGAGCAAACGGG
rnacentral:rRNA from 1 species